rnacentral:rRNA from 1 species
AUGAACGCUGGCGGCGUGCUUAACACAUGCAAGUCGAACGAAGCACUUUACUUGAUUUCUUCGGAAUGAUUGUUCUGUGACUGAGUGGCGGACGGGUGAGUAACGCGUGGGUAACCUGCCUCAUACAGGGGGAUAACAGUUAGAAAUGACUGCUAAUACCGCAUAAGCGCACGGUAUCGCAUGAUACAGUGUGAAAAACUCCGGUGGUAUGAGAUGGACCCGCGUCUGAUUAGCUAGUUGGUGAGGUAACGGCCCACCAAGGCGACGAUCAGUAGCCGACCUGAGAGGGUGACCGGCCACAUUGGGACUGAGACACGGCCCAAACUCCUACGGGAGGCAGCAGUGGGGAAUAUUGCACAAUGGGCGAAAGCCUGAUGCAGCGACGCCGCGUGAGCGAAGAAGUAUUUCGGUAUGUAAAGCUCUAUCAGCAGGGAAGAAAAAUGACGGUACCUGACUAAGAAGCACCGGCUAAAUACGUG